UAGGGAAUCUUCGGCAAUGGGGGCAACCCUGACCGAGCAACGCCGCGUGAGUGAAGAAGGUUUUCGGAUCGUAAAGCUCUGUUGUAAGUCAAGAACGAGUGUGAGAGUGGAAAGUUCACACUGUGACGGUAGCUUACCAGAAAGGGACGGCUAACUACGUGCCAGCAGCCGCGGUAAUACGUAGGUCCCGAGCGUUGUCCGGAUUUAUUGGGCGUAAAGCGAGCGCAGGCGGUUUGAUAAGUCUGAAGUUAAAGGCUGUGGCUCAACCAUAGUUCGCUUUGGAAACUGUCAAACUUGAGUGCAGAAGGGGAGAGUGGAAUUCCAUGUGUAGCGGUGAAAUGCGUAGAUAUAUGGAGGAACACCGGUGGCGAAAGCGGCUCUCUGGUCUGUAACUGACGUUGAGGCUCGAAAGCGUGGGGAGCGAACAGGAUUAGAUACCCUGGUAGUCCACGCCGUAAACGAUGAGUGCUAGGUGUUGGAUCCUUUCCGGGAUUCAGUGCCGCAGCUAACGCAUUAAGCACUCCGCCUGGGGAGUACGACCGCAAGGUUG
rnacentral:rRNA from 1 species